rnacentral:rRNA from 1 species
AGUGAACGCUGGCGGUGGGCCUAACACAUGCAAGUCGAACGACAGCACAGUAAGAGCUUGCUCUUACGGGUGGCGAGUGGCGGACGGGUGAGGAAUACAUCGGAAUCUACUUUUUCGUGGGGGAUAACGUAGGGAAACUUACGCUAAUACCGCAUACGACCUACGGGUGAAAGCAGGGGAUCUUCGGACCUUGCGCGAUUGAAUGAGCCGAUGUCGGAUUAGCUAGUUGGCGGGGUAAAGGCCCACCAAGGCGACGAUCCGUAGCUGGUCUGAGAGGAUGAUCAGCCACACUGGAACUGAGACACGGUCCAGACUCCUACGGGAGGCAGCAGUGGGGAAUAUUGGACAAUGGGCGCAAGCCUGAUCCAGCCAUACCGCGUGGGUGAAGAAGGCCUUCGGGUUGUAAAGCCCUUUUGUUGGGAAAGAAAAGCAGCAGGUUAAUACCCCGCUGUUCUGACGGUACCCAAAGAAUAAGCACCGGCUAACUUCGUG